rnacentral:rRNA from 1 species
UACGUAGGGGGCAAGCGUUGUCCGGAUUUAUUGGGCGUAAAGAGCUCGUGAGGCGGCUUGUCGCGUCGUCCGGUGAAAACCCACAGCUCAACUGUGGGCUUGCGGUCGAUACGGGCAGGCUAGAGUUCGGUAGGGGGAGACGUGGAAUCCUGGUGUAGCGGUGAAAUGCGCAGAUAUCGAGGAGGAACGACCGGUGGCGAAGGCGGGUCGCUGGGCCGAUACUGACGCUGAGGAGCGAAGCGUGGGGAGCGAACAGG